GGUAGGGAACGUGUAAUAAAUUAAUACAACCCAACCAAAUCCUUGAUGGAUGAAACCAGACGAAAAAUGGUGAACAUACUGGCAGCUGACAUGACAGAAAAGAAUGGUACAUCCCCACCCAGACAAGUGAAAGAAAUCCCCAAAAAAUCCAAGGAGCACUACUAUGAUAGUGAGAGUGGAACUGGGUACUUGGCCUGUAGGAUUGAAAGUAUUCAGAGAGGCACCGCUAAAGAAAAGCAAUCGUCGUUUAGAGAAUCAGCCAAAGAAUCAUCUGGUGAAGACAUGUCUGGAGGACCAACUGUCAGACGAGUGUCCAAAACAUUCAGACACGGUCAAGAAAAAACUGAAACUGACGUUUGUGUAUCGCUGCAACAUGGUCCUUGACCCCCAGAAGUCGAGCAACAUACUGUCGGACUUUCCACGUUUUAAAGACAUCAAAGGCUUGGUUGGGACAGUGACCUUUUGUCGGUUUUAUUGGUGCUACACCUGAUUCCACC